UACCGUGAGGGAAAGGCGAAAAGAACCCCGGCGAGGGGAGUGAAAAAGAACCUGAAACCGUGUACGUACAAGCAGUGGGAGCCUCUUUAUGGGGUGACUGCGUACCUUUUGUAUAAUGGGUCAGCGACUUAUAUUCUGUAGCAAGGUUAACCGAAUAGGGGAGCCGAAGGGAAACCGAGUCUUAACUGGGCGUUAAGUUGCAGGGUAUAGACCCGAAACCCGGUGAUCUAGCCAUGGGCAGGUUGAAGGUUGGGUAACACUAACUGGAGGACCGAACCGACUAAUGUUGAAAAAUUAGCGGAUGACUUGUGGCUGGGGGUGAAAGGCCAAUCAAACCGGGAGAUAGCUGGUUCUCCCCGAAAGCUAUUUAGGUAGCGCCUCGUGAAUUCAUCUCCGGGGGUAGAGCACUGUUUCGGCAAGGGGGUCAUCCCGACUUACCAACCCGAUGCAAACUGCGAAUACCGGAGAAUGUUAUCACGGGAGACACACGGCGGGUGCUAACGUCCGUCGUGAAGAGGGAAACAACCCAGACCGCCAGCUAAGGUCCCAAAGUCAUGGUUAAGUGGGAAACGAUGUGGGAAGGCCCAGACAGCCAGGAUGUUGGCUUAGAAGCAGCCAUCAUUUAAAGAAAGCGUAAUAGCUCACUGGUCGAGUCGGCCUGCGCGGAAGAUGUAACGGGGCUAAACCAUG
rnacentral:rRNA from 1 species